UAGAUACUCCCUCCGUUCCAAAAUUCUUGUCUUACGUUUAUCUAGAAAUGAAUGUAUCUAAAUACUAAAACGUGACUAGAUACAUUGAUAUCUACAAAUCUAAAACAAGAAUUUUGGAAUGGAGGUAGUACAAC
rfam:Hordeum vulgare subsp. vulgare, WGS project CAJW01000000 data, contig: morex_contig_2034470